GUGUUUGUGUCUGUGUGUGUGCGCGCGUGCGCGCGUGUGUGUGCGCGCGUGUCUGUGUGUCUGUACUGCGCGCGGGCGGGCGCGUGUGUGUGUGCGCGCGGGGGCUCUAGUGCAGGAGCCACUGGAUGUGCGUGCGUGUGUUAUGGGUUUGAUUCCAGAGCAGGUUGCACAUUGGUCCUGGGUGGCUCGCAGGCUCAGGUCGUGCUUGGGCGUCCUCCUCCUAAUCGUUUCCGAAGUAGCAGCAGCAGCAGCAGCAGCACCAGCAGCAGCAGCCGCCGCGGCAGCAUCGCAGCAGCUCAGCGGCACAGCCGGCAGAACUGUGCAGAAGCGAGCACCGUUUGGGGAGUCCGGGGGGCGGCAGUUACAUCCAGCUGUUUAUUGCCUAAGCAUUCUGGGGCUUGCUUCAUCACUUGGCUUUGCUGUGGAGCACUCCUGUAGAGCUUACUGAAUUGCAUAUUGAAGAUCCACCCAUUUGUUCUACUCGGAUAGUCAAGCCCAUCUGAACCCAAGUAUUGCCACGGUGACACUGUGCCCAGUGAUGGAAUUCUGAAUUAUACGAAAGGUUGGUGCUGCUCUGUCCAUCUAUUUCUGCAGAGGGAAGAUAGACAAGGGAAGGCUUUCUCUCUGCAAAUACUCAUGGUGUGACCCAUUUGAGAUACAAAAAGUCUCAAGAGGUUAUAAUUCAGAAAGCUGGAUGAAAUGUACAAGAUUGGGAGGGAGAAGGCCAGCGCAGACUGACGGCAUUCUCUUGAUGGGCAGGCGCCGUGUCUCAGGAAAGAAAGGAAAGCAGGAAGUGCUAUUUUGGCACCUUCUCUGUGCCACACUCUUGUGCAGGUUUUAAAUCUUUUCUACAAUAUCAGUGAAGAGUUAACACCUUAGUUUUGCAGGUG
rnacentral:lncRNA from 1 species